ensembl:lncRNA
UAGAACGUGAGGGAGAAGAUGCAUAGCUGCCAAUUAGCUGUACCUGUUGAAGGGCAAUAAGGCAUAGUCUUGCUCCUAAGUGGCAUCACCAACCAUUUUAUUUUGCCUGAGACUGCCCUAGUUUUAGUGCUGAAAGUCCAAUAUCCUGUGCAAACCAGGGCUAGGGUCACCUUAGUCAUAAGAUCUGCUGGGAGUUCCUACAGAGGAGGCAGGAGGGAGACAUGUUGGUCCAGAGCAAAGGAAAGUGUGAACUAGUGGGAAGAGAAAGGACAGCUCUUUGUCAGGAGGAGCCCAAAGUUCACCUGGUCUGGGCCAGCCAAUAUCAAUGUCAAAGAGGUGUACAGAGUUCAUUGACCUCCCCACCUUCCAGGGACACUGGGAUCUGGGGCCUACGUGAAAGAAUAUGUCUGAGCUCGGAGCUGAAGAUGGCCACUUCGACCCUGACCCUGAGGCACAAGUUACUAAGACAAUGUCCUGUGUCACGUUCCUUGUCUGGGCUGGCCACCCCGACAGGCACCUGCCUGGACUAUAGAAACAUCCCAUGUAUGGGAACAAAAAGAUAAAAACAUCCCAUCCGUGGGAACAAGAAGAAGUAACUCAAAGUAUCUAAAUGUCUGAAACACUGAGUCAGAACCCAGAAAACAGUAGAAUAAAAGGGAGUCACAGGCAUAGAACAAUUGGGGGUCUCACCGAGGAGAGGACGCUUUGCCUCAGACCCGGACAAUCAGCACUCCUGCCCGCCACACAAACUGUUGGGACUUCCCCGGCUGAUUGUGAUGUGGAUGUUGUGAAUUUAAUUCGUUUUCCGGCCAGAAGGACCCAGAGCAGAUAGAGGAAAUGUCUUCCUCCCCUACACUUCCUUAUGAGGGAGAAAACAGACUUGAAUCAGAGCCAUCUCUACUACUUUUGGAAAAGGUUCUUGGAAAGUCUUGAGUUCUCAGAAGAGAUGAAAAAUGAAUUGAAUCCAAAUCUUGACUGGAAUUCAUAAAAGCACAGCUUUGUGACAUUUGUUUUCCUGCAUCAAAAAUGAAGACAUUAUCAUACUUAAAUAAUUACGGUAACCAACAAUGUGUUUUCUAUGGAUUGACCUGCAGAGGUGGCAAUUUUGUCUUCAAGAACACAGACCUUAGAGAUCUUGGGAGAAAGUGAAUUCUCACUAGAUAUUGAAAGCCUGAAUCUAGAAAACACUCAUUGUUCGGGACCCAUUCCUAUGUCUCUUACAAAGCAUUCCAUUUGGAUUAAACCGUAUGCACAGACAUUUCUUACCCUCCCUCAAAAGUCGUAAGAAGCUGAAACAAAACAUUCGUACUUAAGAGUACCAAUAAUUCCUCCUGAGGAAGUACCUUUUUCCGUUGGUAUACAGUCUGGUGAAGCUGUCCUUCAGGAGCCUUUUCCCUUUCUUGUCAGAGGACAAGCCCAAGAACUAAACAAGUUCACUGGAUUCUCUUUCCAUUGAAUUUUAGCAGACUGAUGAAGUGGGGCAUGGUCAAGUUCACCAGUAGUAAUGUUCACACCGGGUGUAUAUCGUUCCUAUAAUUCUAAUGGCUAGCCCUCUAUGGCUGCCUUGGUCCUCCAGCUUUCCCACUUAAGAUACCAAUAUCUUUCCAAUAAACUCUAUUUUGUGUAAAUUAGUCACCGUUCCUGUUACCUGCUGCCAUAACCCUCACUUACAGAGAAAUUAAUACCAGAAAAUGGAUUACUGGCAUUAGGUAUGGAAUAAAACUUCUCUUCCUAUUCUGGAAAAUACAUUUAGCAUCCUGAGAAACUUUAUGACAAGAGAGCUAAUUAGGCUAGUCAUGCAGUCACUACCAAGUUUUUCUGCUUUUUCCAGC